CGUGGCGGUUGCUGCCGCCGCUGCGGUUAGGCUUUGUGCCUUUCUGGCCUUUUCCUGUUCUCUGUUAAACGCGCCUGAAGUGAUUUUGCACUGACUCUCGAUGUGAUGUUAUGAUUCUCGGUCCAGCCUACAAAGCAAACACCCACUUGUAGAAGCUGAGGCGGCGCUCGGAACCGCAGGGCUGCUCCGCGGCGUGGGAGCACUGCGAGUUACAGCCAGCCUUCCGCAUGGCCGCCUCUUCCGCGCGGCGCAGGGUCAUGACGUCACAACGGGGACGGCUUCCCGCGCGUGCAAUUCUCGGUCCAGCCUACAAAGCAAACACCCACUUGUAGAAGCUGAGGCGGCGCUCGGAACCGCAGGGCUGCUCCGCGGCGUGGGAGCACUGCGAGUUACAGCCAGCCUUCCGCAUGGCCGCCUCUUCCGCGCGGCGCAGGGUCAUGACGUCACAA
ensembl:lncRNA